UACGAAGGGGGCUAGCGUUGUUCGGAAUCACUGGGCGUAAAGGGCGCGUAGGCGGCUUUAUAAGUCGGGGGUGAAAGCCUGUGGCUCAACCACAGAAUUGCCUUCGAUACUGUAGAGCUUGAGACCGGAAGAGGUAAGUGGAACUGCGAGUGUAGAGGUGAAAUUCGUAGAUAUUCGCAAGAACACCAGUGGCGAAGGCGGCUCACUGGCCCGGAACUGACGCUGAGGUGCGAAAGCGUGGGGAGCAAACAGG
rnacentral:rRNA from 1 species